GUUUCCCUCUGCGCUGGGAGCAGUUUGAUGAAGAUUUUUAAGUGAAAAAAAAAAAGAAAAAAAGAAGAAGCGUAUUUUGAGUGGCUUACCAAGGCUGAAGGCGUCCAGGUUCCCAAAGGGUUCCAGGUGUCGGUACCUGAGAACGGCUGGUUUAAUGCUGCGCCGUGUCGAGCUAAAAGCAGUGGGAGGAUGUUGAGACGCCUAUCGCAUGUAAUCAGAAGUAAUUACACUCUACAGAUACCAGCCACAACGAUUCUUGCUGUACCGAGAUGCGUUACAUCUUUUUGUGCUGAGAGAAUUUUAGUGUGGUAGGGAAAAUAUUCCAUCACAGAACUGCAGCCACGACAAAAUGAAGGCAGAAUGUGUGUUUUUACACACAGAAUAUGCAGAACAGCAGGUAUGCAGGGACUGUGUGUUGGUUUACCUACGCAAUACUUCUGUUCCUUUGUCUACAUCCAACUGAGGUGACGUUUUUUCUCUUGCUUUAAACUUUUCCUAAGCAUUAUGUGGCCAGCAGGGUGAAUUUGCACGAAUCCGUAUUCCAAAACUUGGAUCCUACUGAAAUUGAAAUCUGUGAAGUGUUUCAAUUGCUGCAGAGUAAGUGGGCUCUGACUCCUAAUACAACUGCUUAGAUGAAGCUCUCACUGCUGAGCCAGCAACGCGGGCUGUCCAUACAAGGUGCUCAUUACCUCAUGCUUUUGGUGUCAGCCAAGCUUCUGCCUCUAAUUUUUCCAUACAUCUAAAAUUUGUACUGAUGAAACACAGGAAAAGAAAGAAAGAAAGAAAGGAAAAAAAAAAAAACAGCAACAACCAACCAAGAGGUUCACAGAGAUAAAUGACUCUGCUGCAGCUUUGAAGGGCUGUUUUUGUCUGUUUUGUCUUCAUCUUGAACUAUUUAGGGAGGUGCUUUCUUGUGUCUUUUGUCACUUGAAAAUCCCAUUUAGCCUCAGUGGAAUCACAUACAUGGCCUGCAUGGUGUCAAGUACUAUCCAGUUAAUAGAAAGAAUUGACCAUUGUUCAGAAAGACACAGACACAGAACAAACACUCCCUUUUCUCUACUGUACCACUGGGAACAAAGAAGUAGGCAAAUCGGAGCAGAGGGUCCUGGGCUCUUCAAGAAGGAGGAAUGAUGAAGGAAGCUCUUCCGAAAGGAGCAACAAUGCUUCUUCUGCCAUGCUCAUGCAGGUUUCCUCCAUGCUGCCCUCUCUUCUGGAGUGACACGGGUCCUACACAGGCAUUUCAGAGCAGGAGUAAAAU
ensembl:lncRNA